GGCGGCGCGGCCCCGCUCCAGCAGGCGGCUUUGUCAACCAGAAGCUCACCAGGCCCAGAGAACAACAACCUCAACCAUCAGUGCCCAGAAAGCAACAAGAAGCCUUUGGGGCAGUCCACAAUAUUAUAUGAUUACUCGGAGGAGGAGCUCAUGGCAAGCAUUGAGCGGGAGUACUGCCGCUGAAUCCAGUUCCCCACCACGAGAAUGUCAGGCUUGAUCCUGGAAGCCCAGCUGAGCAGAACUGCUACUGACAACACAACGUUUCACCCAGCGAGACAGCACGGGACAGGUGGCUGGGGAGGCUCUGGAACACCAGAGGCAGCAUGGCUGCUUGGGAGGCACAGAGGAGAAAGGUCACCUGAUCAGUGAGAGAAUGAAGAUCCUCACCAGCUGCUGGUUUCUGAUUGGUGCCACUGGGAGAGGAACCAAUUUGUCUUAAGAAUCAAUAUUUAGAAGCUAAUUUCUAAAUGCUGUUUAUAAAUUAACGUGUACUAGAAAUAAGUGUCAUAGUAGAGAUGUUGAAAUGUGGUGCUUUGAAGGAAGAUCUUGCUUUGAACUUAGUAAAAAAAUAGCAAUAUCAUCUGAUCCAGAACUUAAAGGGGAUGUUGAAUGAAAUUCGUGUUUCUGCCACUUAAAAUGUGCCAGAUGUACUCCUUGCACUGUGCAAGCCUCAGAUCUAGGUCCGAAUUUGGCCCUCUUUCAGUCUGGUCCACAGUGUGAGAGAUAAGAUGAAAAGGGGAUUGAGCCCACCAUCUAGUAUAUAGGCAGUGUAAUCCCAGAGUUCAAAUCCCACCACACUGGCAAACUAGGCUCCUAGAAGCCAUCAGGGAACACAGGAUUUCUGUGAUCCCUUUGGGGCAGGAUCCCAGCAUAGGUGUCCUACCUGGGGCUCCUGGGUGUGGAUCCAUCCCAGGGAUGGCAGUGAAAGCAGGAGGCACAUCCCCAUUUCAGUCAUCCUCCUCGAGAGGGACUUGCAUGCUCUUGUAGAGCAGCUGUUUGGGAUCAGUUUUCAGACUUGCCACUUCUGGCCUUUCCCUAAUAUUUCUUGUCCUACAAGAAAAAUCACUGCAUUUUACCAUUAGCUGACUGCAAAGUAAACCAGAAAGUUGUCUCUCCUAAGGAAACAGUAUUUUCAGUGCUCCCAGACAGGAAAGCCUGGUAUUUUGGGUUUCUGCUUUUGUUAUAUCUGCAUCUUAACAUAUUUUGAGUAUCUGCUUAUUAUCAGAAGUAGAAAAUUUAUUUCUAUCUUCAACUGAAGCAUAAAAGGCAUCAGAUGAAAUCUUCACUACGUGUAAAUGCAAGAAAAAACUGCAGGACACCUCUUAAGAUGCUGUGUUUUAAGUACCUUAUGAUUCCUGGGACCUGUGAAACAGUAAUAAAUGCAUCUAUACUCUGAAGCCCCCAGUGAAGGCAUCAAAUGUUCUGAAAAAGGCUGUGUGGCCUGCAAGGGAAAUCAUGCUCUGGAACCUGCAGAGACCAAGCAGGAUGCAUCCCUGAGGAUGGCAGGUGGGACACCUUGAGGGGGCACGAGAUCACACCCCUGGCACACAGACUCACAGCCCAGCAGCCUUCAGCAGGGCUGGACAUUGUGCUCUGCCUGGGAGCUGGGGAGCCACCAGGCAGCCCAGGGUGGGCAGGGGGAAGGGAGCCAGCCUCCCACAAAGCUGUGCAUGCCUGAGGGCAGGAGCUCCCAGCACACCAGCUGGGGCAUGGAUAGGAACAGGGAUAAUGCUUUUAAACUGGAAGAGGCUAGAUUUGGGUUGAACAUAAGGAAGAAAUUGUUCACUGUGGGGGUGGUGAGGUACUGGAACAGGUUGUGAAUGCCCCAUCUCUGGAAGUGUUCAGAGCCGGGUUGGAUGGUGCUCUGAGCAAACCGGUCUAGUGGAAGACGUCCCUGCCCAUGGCAGGGAGGUGGGACUAGAUGGGACUAGAUGAUCCUUAAGGUCUCCUCCAACCCAGGCCAUUCUAUCAUUCUGUGAUAACUUUGGUGGCCGGAAAUAGCUGGAUUAGAGCUAUUGUCUAAUAGUCUCUGCAUUGUUGGGAGAAGUUGGGUGGGCCCUCUGGAGCAAUAGCUCUCUAACUCUCCUGGAAAAAAUCCAAUUUUGAACCAUAGCGUUUCUUUCACAAGAACAGUCAUUUUUAGAUCUAUUAAUGUCACUGAUCUAUGGCAGGAACACAGUUUCUCUGCAGUUUAUCAAGAGUCCACUCACCGUAUCUCCCAGUGCUUGUGUUAGUUUUCAGCAGCUCUCAAAGACUGGGAUGAACAGAAUCUGCCCUGUGGAGAGCAGAAAAAACAUGGUGACCCCAGCACCACAGGGAACCACAGUACUCUAUAUUCUUUUCUAAUCACUAUAGUGGUUUAGAUUUUUUUUGAACUUGGAUUUAAUUCUUUCAACUAAGACCUUCCUUCUCUCAUCGUCCCCAGAGUCCCUGACACAUGUGGGGAGGUAUUUCCAUGAGCUCAGUCACAGCUCCCCCUUCGUGAGGGCAGGGCCAGUGGAUUGCUGCCUUUUUGGAUGGCCUCCAAUGACACAGCAAACCAGAGGAAAGCCAUGCUGCUGUCAGACCACGCUGUGACAGGAGCAGGCAGGGACCAGGGCUCUGCCUCCCCCCAGGUCGCUCUGCACGUGCCCUGCCUGCCCCUACAGAGCUUCUCUCUCUGAGGCUGCAUUUGGUGACUGGCCCAGGUAUCAGCUCUACUGUCACCCUGAAAACUGAAGCCUUCUGGUAGUGUUUUCAUAGUUUUAGUUACU